CCCCGGUUAAGGAAAGAGCAUCAUUCUAGUGAAAAAAGUCACUAUAGGUACAUAAUUUAAAAUUGUAGUAAUAACUUGUAUUGUUCAAUAAUUCUAUAAUUCUUACAUCCAUAAAAAAACGACAUUCAAUGAACCACCGUAAACCCUAGCCAUAAAAUUAGAAAACAUUUACAUAUAACUAAAAUUACAACCAACAGUUCCAAAAUUUUCAUAAAUAUAAAAGAACUAAUGAAAAUAACAAAAAGAAGAAUAAAAGAUACCCAAAUUAUCCCGAGAAGCAGGUACAGGGAGCUUUAUCGACACGACCUCAUCUCUCUGAGCCUCGGCCAUUCUUAUUACUUGCAAAUCAACUACAAAAUCACCUCUCAAAGUAAAACAAUACGAAGACCAAUGCACAACAAAUUAGAAUGGGUUGUUGUGGGUAUGUCUUGGAGGCUCCCCAUCCAUGUAAAAGAAAUAAGAAAAGAAUGAAUCAGGGGUAGUUUUGAGUUUGCGUUUGAAAAUGGAUGAGGUGAUGGUCAUGUGUGGAAGGAAAAAAGCGUGUGAAAAUGAAGAUGAGGUGAUGUUGUGUGAAUGGGUGGGGGGGGGGGGGGGGGGGAAUAAAAGAAAAAAAGGAUGUUGAUGAUGAUUAGAGGUUAACACGUGUCCUCACCUCUUUUAUAUGUUAGUAGACAGAUAUCAAGAAAAUGAACGAGAAAAUAAAAGAAAAUCAAUGAAAAGAGAGAGAGAGAGAAGAAAAAAAAAAAGAGGAAGAAGACAGAAUGCAACUGAGGCUGCCGAUUUUUGAAUUAAUAACUUAGCGAAAUUGUAACACAAGUCCUCAAAUUUUGAAAAAGAAAUUAAAACGAUCCCUUAGUUUUUGAACUCUCGACGCCAAGGCAUCUCUUCUCUACCAAAACAAAACUAGAAUUGGGUACGUUUUCGUAGUCGAAUCCCCUAGAUAGUUGCAUGUCAGGUCCUUCAACCUUGAUUUUGCAUAACUUGGGCCUCAAAAAUUCAACUUUUAUAUAAGUUUUUCGCUCCAAAAAUUGCAACCAAGUCCUCCAACUUUCCAUCCUUGUGCAAUUUGGUCCCCAACUUUCAUGUUUUGUACGCUUUUGGUCCAUUUUCUUUUCUUUUUGCCUUUUUUUCCAUUGGGUGUUUAUAACCAACGAAAGCCCAAAUUAUCCAAUUAUGAGUUGAUAUCUGCUUUUUUCAUCAAUAAUAAGCAUAUUUAGACAUUAAAUAAGUGUACAAAAAUAUAUAUCACAUUGCAUUAAAUUCAAGGUAGGCUUCGAUUCCCAACGAGAUAGGGAAAAGGGCCUCGUGUCCAUCGUAGAAGAUAUGUAUGAGCAUGAGAAGGCAUUGGACGAGUUAGAGGUGGCGUAUGUUAGCUGCGGAGAAAGUAUGGCACGUUGACCAGAACUUAGGUCAAAGUUGUAACCUAUUUCCCGAGGUCAUUAAAUCCCUCCAAAUUAUUAGAGGUUGAGGUACUACUAAUGUAGGAAAAUGUUCUUCAUCUUGAAGGUCAACUAGGUCUCGUUGGUUAUCAUAGUGGCUCAAAGCGAGAGUGACUUUUCACUAGUGAAGAAAUCUAGGGACAUGAGCAUCGACAAGGUUCUUGAUAGAGAAGACAUAUACGUUAUGUCCUAGUCAUGUAUCUACCAUGACAUCUAAUAGCAAUUUCUAUAGGUGGCAUCAAUGAUGCAACAAAAAUGGUGCCUAGAGAGACUCGGUUUUGUGUUGGGAAAACACGAAAGAUGAGUAAAAUAAGACCAUCGAACAAUUUUCCGAAAAGGCUAGUGAAGAUUUGUUUCUAUUGCCCCUUCGAUCCUCAAGUCAGAAAGUUGUUGGGGGAGAAUAUAUACUUAGACUAUAAUCACAAAUAAAAUUCAGCCUGAAAAAGGCGAACGCUUGAGCACCUCCCUUACAACCAGUGAGCAGUUUUUGAGUAGUCUUUUGUAUUAUCAUCGAACCUUUCCCUCCCAAUAUCGAAUUUAGUCAAUUUAAAAUGCGUUAUAAAACUAACUCAAAUUCCACUAUUCAUUUAGAAUAGCAUUUCAAAUUUGUGUAAAAUAUGUUGCAACUUGUGGCUGAGAAUUUGGAGUAUGAGUUGUGCUGCAAUUUGACACUCAUUUGAAUUCUAAUUAGAUCCCAUUAGUCAUUGAUGAUCUUGUUAGACAUAGC
rnacentral:lncRNA from 1 species